rnacentral:rRNA from 1 species
AGAGUUUGAUCCUGGCUCAGGACGAACGCUGGCGGCGUGCCUAAUACAUGCAAGUCGAACGAAACUUUCUUACACCGAAUGCUUGUAUUCACCGUAAGAAGUUGAGUGGCGGACGGGUGAGUAACACGUGGGUAACCUGCCUAAAAGAAGGGGAUAACACUUGGAAACAGGUGCUAAUACCGUAUAUCUCUAAGGGUCGCAUGAUCCUUAGAUGAAAGAUGGUUCUGCUAUCGCUUUUAGAUGGACCCGCGGCGUAUUAACUAGUUGGUGGGGUAACGGCCUACCAAGGUGAUGAUACGUAGCCGAACUGAGAGGUUGAUCGGCCACAUUGGGACUGAGACACGGCCCAAACUCCUACGGGAGGCAGCAGUAGGGAAUCUUCCACAAUGGACGCAAGUCUGAUGGAGCAACGCCGCGUGAGUGAAGAAGGUCUUCGGAUCGUAAAACUCUGUUGUUAGAGAAGAACACGAGUGAGAGUAACUGUUCAUUCGAUGACGGUAUCUAACCAGCAAGUCACGGCUAACUACGUGCCAGCAGCCGCGGUAAUACGUAGGUGGCAAGCGUUGUCCGGAUUUAUUGGGGCGUAAAGGGAAACGCCAGGCGGUCUUUUUAAGUCUGAUGUGAAAGCCUUCGGCUUAAACCGGAGUA